rnacentral:rRNA from 1 species
AGAGUUUGAUCAUGGCUCAGAACGAACGCUGGCGGCGUGCUUAACACAUGCAAGUCGAACGUGAAAUCCGCUUUCGGGCGGAGAGUAAAGUGGCGCACGGGUGAGUAACGCGUGGAUAAUCUACCCCGAGGCCCGGGAUAACUCGCCGAAAGGUGGGCUAAUACCGGAUAAUGUCCCACUACCUAAGUAGUGUGACCAUAGGAGGCUCUGCUUCCGCCACAGGAUGAGUCCGCGUACCAUUAGCUAGUUGGUAGGGUAAUGGCCUACCAAGGCUACGAUGGUUAGCUGGUCUGAGAGGACGAUCAGCCACACUGGAACUGAGACACGGUCCAGACUCCUACGGGAGGCAGCAGUGGGGAAUAUUGCGCAAUGGGGGAAACCCUGACGCAGCGACGCCGCGUGAGCGAUGAAGGCCUUCGGNUNNNAAAGCUCUGUCAGGUGGGAAGAACCACUCGCAGGUUAAUACCCUGCGGGUCUGACGGUACCACCAGAGGAAGCACCGGCUAACUCCGUGCCAGCAGCCGCGGUAACACGGAGGGUGCAAGCGUUGUUCGGAAUCACUGGGCGUAAAGGACGCGCAGGCGGCCCGGUAAGUCAGAAGUGAAAUCCGUCGGCUCAACCGACGAACGGCUUCUGAUACUGCCGGACUUGAGUACGGGAGAGGAAAGCGGANUUCCCAGUGUAGAGGUGAAAUUCGUAGAUNUUGGGAAGAACACCGGUGGCGAAGGCGGCUUUCUGGACCGAUACUGACGCUGAGGCGUGAAAGCGUGGGGAGCAAACAGGAUU